AGAGUUUGAUCUUGGCUCAGAACGAACGCUGGCGGUAUGCUUAACACAUGUAAGUUGAAUGAGAAAGCUUUCUUCGGAAAGUGAUUAGAGUGGCGCACGGGUGAGUAACACGUAGAUAACCUGCCUUUUAGUCUGGGAUAACCAUUUGAAAAGAUGGCUAAUACCGGAUAACAUCGGUUACCUUAAGGUGGCCGAUUGAAAGAUUUAUCGCUAAUAGAUGGGUCUGCGUACCAUUAGCUAGUUGGUAGGGUAAAGGCCUACCAAGGCUGCGAUGGUUAGCGGGUCUGAGAGGAUGAUCCGUCACACUGGAAUUGAGAUAUGGUCCAGACUCCUACGGGAGGCAGCAGUGUGGGAAUUUUGUGCAAUGGGCGAAAGCCUGACGCAGCAAUACCGCGUGAGUGAAGAAGGCCUUUGGGUCGUAAAGCUCUUUUCUAAAGGAAGAUAAUGAUGGUACUUUAGGAAUAAGCACCGGUUAACUCCGUGUUAGUAGUUGUGGUAAUACGGAGGGUGCAAGCGUUGUUCGGAUUUACUGGGCGUAAAGGGCACGUAGGCGGCAUAGCAAGUUAAGGGUGAAAUUCCGGGGUUUAAUUCCGGAACUGCUCUUAAAACUGCUGAGCUAGAGAUAGUCAGAGGCGGGUGGAAUUCCAGGUGUAGAGGUGAAAUUUGUAGAUAUUUGGAGGAACACUGGUGGUGAAGGCGGCCCGCUGGGACUAUUCUGACGCUAAGGUGCGAAAGCGUGGGGAGCGAACAGGAUUAGAUAUCCUGGUAGUCCACACUGUAAACGAUGAACACCGGCUGUUUGGAUAAUUGAUAAUCCAAGUGGCGCAGCUAAUGCGAUGAGUGUUCCGCCUGGGGAGUACGGUCGUAAGACUAAAACUCAAAGGAAUUGACGGGGGCCCGCACAAGCGGUGGAGCAUGUGGUUUAAUUUGAUGCAAUGUGAAGAAUUUUACCUGGGUUUGACAUCCUCGGACCACCAUAGAGAUAUGGUUUUCCCUUCGGGGACCGAGUGACAGGUGCUGCAUGGCUGUCGUCAGCUCGUGUUGUGAGAUGUUGGGUUAAGUCCCGCAACGAGCGCAACCCUUGUCCUUAGUUGCCAGCAUGUAAUGGUGGGAACUUUAAGGAGACUGCCGGUGUUAAGCCGGAGGAAGGUGGGGAUGACGUCAAGUCCUCAUGGCCUUUAUAUCCAGGGCUACACACGUGCUACAAUGGUGACUAUAAAGAGCAGCAAGACCGUGAGGUUGAGCGAAUUUUAAAAAAGUCAUCUCAGUUCGGAUCGCAGUCUGUAAUUUGGCUGCGUGAAGUUGGAAUCGCUAGUAAUCGUAGAUUAGUGUGCUACGGUGAAUAUGUUCCCGGGCCUUGUAUACACCGCCCGUCACACCAUGGGAGUUGACAUUGGCAGAAUACAUUGAGCGAAUUUU
rnacentral:rRNA from 1 species